rnacentral:rRNA from 1 species
UACGAAGGGGGCUAGCGUUGCUCGGAAUCACUGGGCGUAAAGGGCGCGUAGGCGGCCAUUCAAGUCAGAGGUGAAAGCCCAAGGCUCAACCUUGGAAUUGCCUUUGAUACUGUUUGGCUUGAGACCGGAAGAGGUUAGUGGAACUGCGAGUGUAGAGGUGAAAUUCGUAGAUAUUCGCAAGAACACCAGUGGCGAAGGCGGCUAACUGGUCCGGUUCUGACGCUGAUGCGCGAAAGCGUGGGUAGCAAACAGG